UCCGGACUAGUAUGAAAUGUCGAGUUCCAGGGGUUUGUGCACUUGUAGUGGCCCUACUACUUUGCAAAGCCAUUGUCGAGGGGUUUUACCCGACCACACACAAACGUAAGCCCUUUACCAAAUAAUAGGCCUCCACGUAGCACCUACUACUAGGACCUCCUGCUAUUCUCACCACAUGACUCAUCACUCUCUAAUUGAGCAUGGAUGGUCAUUAGAAUGUCAAGAUAAACCCUAUCCUGAACUCCGGC
rnacentral:lncRNA from 1 species